rnacentral:rRNA from 1 species
GUAGGGAAUAUUGGACAAUGGGCGAAAGCCUGAUCCAGCCAUGCCGCGUGAUAGAUGAAGGCCCUCUGGGUUGUAAAUAUCUUUUAUCUGGGAAGAAACUCCUCUAUUCUUAGAGGCCUGACGGUACCAGAGGAAUAAGCACCGGCUAACUCCGUGCCAGCAGCCGCGGUAAUACGGAGGGUGCAAGCGUUAUCCGGAUUCACUGGGUUUAAAGGGUGCGUAGGCGGGUUGAUAAGUCAGUGGUGAAAGCUCCGGGCUUAACUUGGAAACUGCCAUUGAUACUGUCAAUCUUGAAUGUCGUAGAGGUAAGCGGAAUGUUGCAUGUAGCGGUGAAAUGCUUAGAUAUGUUACAGAACACCAAUUGCGAAGGCAGCUUACUAUGCGAUAAUUGACGCUGAGGCACGAAAGCGUGGGGAGCAAACAGGAUUAGAAACCCCAGUAGUCC